rnacentral:rRNA from 1 species
AUACGAAGGGAGCUAGCGUUGUUCGGAAUUACUGGGCGUAAAGCGCACGUAGGCGGAUUGAUUAGUUAGGGGUGAAAUCCCAGGGCUUAACCCUGGAACUGCCUCUAAUACUGUCAGUCUAGAGAUCGAGAGAGGUGAGUGGAAUUCCGAGUGUAGAGGUGAAAUUCGUAGAUAUUCGGAGGAACACCAGUGGCGAAGGCGGCUCACUGGCUCGAUACUGACGCUGAGGUGCGAAAGCGUGGGGAGCAAACAGGAUUAGAAACCCUAGUAGUCC